rnacentral:rRNA from 1 species
GACGAACGCUGGCGGCGUGCUUAACACAUGCAAGUCGAACGAAGUGGCGAACGGGUGAGUAAUACGUGAGUAACCUGCCCUCCUUUUUGGGAUAAGCCUUGGAAACGGGGUAUACUACCGAAUAAAGGGGGAUGGGCUCGCGGCCUAUCAGCUUGUUGGUGGGGUGAUGGCCUACCAAGGCGGUGACGGGUAGCCGGCCUGAUAGGGUGACCGGGCAACAUGGGAGUGAGAAACGGCACAGACGACGACGGGAGGGGGCAGUGGGGGAUAUUGGACAAGGGGCGACAGCCUGAUGCAGCGAGGCCGCGUGGGGGAUGAAGGCUUUCGGGUUGUAAACCUCUUUAGCUAACGAACGGGUAGGUGGAGAAGAAGCGCCGGCUAACUACGUGCCAGCAGCCGCGGUAAUUC